UCAUCACCAUGGUGUUCCUCAUAAAGAGUCACAGUCCGUCACAGUCCAGCAGGGUGAUCUGAUCCAUCCAGUCUCUGUAGAAGACUCAGAGCAGCUCGUUCACUCAUUAACACAGAGGAAGGAAAGCAGACAGGGAGCAGAACCUGAGCCAGACCAGAGAAGACCAAGUAGAACCAGUGAAGGGAAUGAGACGGUUUGGAGUCAGGAACCAAACCGGUUCAGACUCAGGAGGAAAAACUCCUGAACCGCGGCUUCAUGGUUUCCUGCAGAGAAGCAGCUGCAUGAGUCCAUCACUGAUCAAUAAGACUCUGAACUCCUCAGCGCUUUUUACAACCCUCCGCGGUCCCUGAACGCAUCACAGCGCGGCUCCGCCAAUUACAGGUGCGUGACGUCAGACGCCAGAACGCUUUAUUAGUCACGUGACGGCGACGUCGGAUUUAAAUCCCGCGGUCAAACAGAGAGAGACACUGAGGUGAAACCAGCCGCACCGAGAAGACACCGGAGAAGAAGAGAAGCACCGGGACCGGCUCCGGUCACACACCUGUCAGAACUGGAAAAGACGAGACGCUGGAACCAACUCGUCCAACUUCAGGAGGAACUUUAAACCUCGCUCACAAAGGUAGAUCUACGAACAGGUAAGUCUCACCUUUCUUUCCUUGUCUCUCCUCUCUCUUCUCUCUUCUCUCUUUCCUGUCAUGGCCGCCGCGUCAUGUCUCCCUGUCCAAUCAGCGUCUAAUGUUUGGUCUGUAAUCAUGUGUCCAUCAUGGCUGCCGAGCCUUUACUGUCUGUCAGUCUGCGCGUCCGUCCGAUUCCAACAUGGCCGCCGGGUCGUCUAUGUGUUUUCUGUGUUCAGGAACAGACAGCUGAGCUCUUCACUGUGUUUGUGGUUUGUUGUUUGGACGUGAGUUUAUUUAGAGUUUAUUAGUGAAGGUGUGAACAGGAAGUCAGGUGUUAAUGUCUUCAUUUUCUGUUUCUUUGAGUUGGAGGUUUCUGAUGUGUGUCUCUGUAAUCUGAGUAGUUAUUGAAGGCUUGUCUCUGCUGCUGACCUGAUUAUUGUCUGAUCAAUAUUUGUGAUCUAACGGUUUCUCUGUAGGUAAAGCUACAGUCGGUGACUCUGUUUCUUUAAUGUUACGUUUGGUGCUGCUGCCUGAUGAUCUGUCUCUGUAGUAGAACUGAACAGUGAAUCCAAACAUUACAAUCACAAUAUGGAUCCAGAGCCACACGUGAGUUUACUGUUAGAAAUGAAGCUGAGGUUUUAUUCUCAUCAGUCCUGUGCUCACAUGUUGACUGGUCAGGUUUGUCUGUAACAAUGCAUUUCUGUUUUUGACCCCAAUCAAUCCCCAUGUUCUAACUUCUCACUGUUUUAGACAAGUCCAUGAAAAAUCACUGUUUACUGUAAAUGAGUUUGUUUCCAGUUAAUGAAGUGUAACCAGUGAUAAACAGCAGCUGCAAACUCAAACUACAUUAAUUAAUUGACCUUAAAUAACAUUAACAGUCUGAGCUGAGCUGGAGUUUCAACAUAAAACCAUCCACACUUGAUAAAAUCCAGAUCACUGGAACUGGGUUUCCUUCCUGCCCCUCAGUCCCCACAGUUUUAGUUCCCCUCACACUGAGGUUUGCGUCUUUGGUUGUUGUUGGUUUUUUUUUUUUUUUUUUUUUUUUUUUAAUUAUUUUUGGGCGGCCGUUCCUUCUCCCAUCUAUCCCUCACUCUUUUGAACCCGGCCGUGGAGCCGAUCUAACGAUCUAUCCAUUUCCUCGUUCGUCCCUUCAACAUGUCCAUCAGUCCCAGCAGUUUUAGCUCCCCUCACACUGAAGGAUCUGUUUCCUGGCCCGGCCUGACUGUUGGUCUGUGUUUUGGUAAGAUUUGGUGGUAGACUCUGACAGAGCAGACAACGUGAACUGCCUGACUCCUGAUUCGUCCAAAUGCUUCUACACUCUUGUCCGCACUCUGUCUACCGGUCUACAGGUCUCUGUCCACACAUCUGACUGCUGACGUGGUC